rnacentral:snoRNA from 1 species
AUUGGGCAAGUGAUGAAAUUUAUGUGUAAUGGGUAAUUUGCAUCUGAAAUUCAUUGAUGCUACAACCUUGGAGACCUGAUGCCCUCU